rnacentral:sRNA from 1 species
AUUCUGCCCAAGCGGGGAAGGAUGAGAAGCUUCGACCAAGGUUCGACUCGAGCGCCAGCGAGAAAGCGUUGCCGCAGGCAACGACCCGAAGGGUGAAGCGCGCAGCGCUGAGUAAUCCUUCCCCCACCACCA